CACAGGACAGGCUGUAGCACGGCAAGGCGUCUGAGCAGUGACCCCUACCAAUGUGCCUCAACCCUGCUCUGCAGGGACCAUCUUUAGG
rnacentral:sRNA from 1 species